rnacentral:rRNA from 2 species
GACGUAGGGUGCAAGCGUUGUCCGGAAUUAUUGGGCGUAAAGAGUUCGUAGGCGGUUAUUUAAGUCUGGUGUUAAAGACGGGAGCUCAACUCCCGCAUGGCAUUGGAAACUGGAUAGCUAGAGUACGGUAGAGGUCUCGGGAAUUCCAGGUGUAGCGGUGAAAUGCGUAGAUAUCUGGAGGAACACCGGUGGCGAAAGCGCGAGACUGGGCCGUAACUGACGCUGAGGAACGAAAGCCAGGGUAGCCAAAGGG